rnacentral:lncRNA from 12 species
CAAAACUUUUAUUUUGGAUGUGAUUAAUCGUGAUUAAUCAUUUGACAGCCCUAAUGUAAAUAUGUCUGCACAUUUCUGAUUUUAGCGUGUGAGGAGACUUUUAUUUUGGAGAGGAGAUAUGACAUCAUAAGCCUGUGCCUCCUCCUGCUCUGUUGUGAUUUGGCUGAAGAAAGGUUUGUGUUUUGAGCAUUUGAAGUGUUUCAAACUGUUCAGGAAAUGUUAUGCUUCUAACGAGAACUCUUGAAUGAAUGAUUUAUUACUGAAUGCAACAUUGUAAUGCUUUGUAUAACAUUUUUAACGUUUUUUUUUUUUUUUUUCUAAAUCAUCUGCACAUGAGUAACACAUUUAGUUUGGAUUUAUUUUCUGUCUGUUAAUUAUUCUCAUCUUGUUCAAACUCACAGAAAAUCAUCUACGUGACACACUAUUAUAAAGAUGUCGUUUAUUAAAGAGGAGAGUGAAGACAUUAGGAUUGCAGAAGUGUUCAGCAUCAAACAUGAAGAUACUGAGGAACAAACAGACCUGAAGGUGCUGAAAGAGGAGAGUCAAGAACUGAAUGAAAAUGAAGAGAAGUACUUGGUUGAGGAAAAUCCAGAUUUCAAAACGGAAGAAAAAUAUCUUAGCUGCUCACAGACUAAAGAGGCUUCCACACGAAUAAGAGCUCAGAAGACAGGAACUAGAGAAAUUCAGCUGGAAUAUUCCCAUCAGUUUACAAGUGAAGACGAGCAUCAAAGCUUCAGGAAGAAAUCUGUAAAGUCUGAGUUUAUUAAAGAGGACCAAGAGGAGAUGAGAGAUCCAGAACCCUGCAGAAUCAAACACACUGAAGACACUGAAGAACUAACAGGUUGGUGUUUAUUCUUCAUUCUUCACUAACAAUGUUGGCAGUACUAAAGUUUCAAGUAGUUUUAGAUUGUGUUUGUUGUAAUAGGAAAUAUCUUAAGAAAAUGUAAUCAAAUAAUAAGGGCCACUUUCUAUGAACUG